rnacentral:rRNA from 1 species
AUUGAACGCUGGCGGCAGGCCUAACACAUGCAAGUCGAACGGUAACAGGAAGAAGCUUGCUUCUUUGCUGACGAGUGGCGGACGGGUGAGUAAUGUCUGGGAAACUGCCUGAUGGAGGGGGAUAACUACUGGAAACGGUAGCUAAUACCGCAUAACGUCGCAAGACCAAAGAGGGGGACCUUCGGGCCUCUUGCCAUCGGAUGUGCCCAGAUGGGAUUAGCUAGUAGGUGGGGUAACGGCUCACCUAGGCGACGAUCCCUAGCUGGUCUGAGAGGAUGACCGGCCACACUGGAACUGAGACACGGUCCAGACUCCUACGGGAGGCAGCAGUGGGGAAUAUUGCACAAUGGGCGCAAGCCUGAUGCAGCCAUGCCGCGUGUAUGAAGAAGGCCUUCGGGUUGUAAAGUACUUUCAGCGGGGAGGAAGGGAGUAAAGUUAAUACCUUUGCUCAUUGACGUUACCCGCAGAAGAAGCACCGACUAACUCCGUG